rnacentral:lncRNA from 1 species
UUAAUGUGGAAGAUGCUGGGAAGCAGAGAUCAGAUCCCUCUUCAGAGAAGCCUUUGGGCUGCACUUGAUGGGGAUGUUGUUGGCCUCUUGCAGGCAUGUCCUCAGCUGCAAAGAUCCUCCUUGCCCAAGGUCACUUUCCCAAGGAUGCAAGGACUGAGGGAUGCUGGAGUAUAAAGGCCUGGCCAUCUUGGCCCAAGUCAAGACAACUCAGAGGAGUCAUUCUAGUUCCAGAGCUCCUGCCAUGCUGGCUCUACAGCUCAACUCCUUUUCUGCCCCCCUUGCUGCCUUCCCACCCUUCAAAGGGCAUUCCCUAAUAAACAUCCUGGAUACAAAACUACACCUGGGAGUCAGCUUCCCAGGGAACCCAACCUGUGACAAGUACAUUUUCUACUUGUUUAUUAUGUCAUAAAAUUCACAGACUCUGGAACUUUGCUUGUGGAAGCAGGGAUGAUCCCUUGAAUGCUGUAAGACCCAGAAAGUGGUAGAGACACAGAAGAAAAAACUAGGCUUUUAAUAAAAUGGGAGAGACAGAUACAAACCAGCAUGUAUGUGAUGCAGUUUCAGUUUCUGAACAAAAACAAUAAAUACAUAAAAGGUCAGCAUGGCCAGUGAAACUGAAAGCUAAGAACUCAGAUGAGGCAAUCACAGAGGGUGAUGAAAGAGAAGAACAUCUGAGAGAGGAGGAGAACAAGAAUGGCCUGGCAAGAAAAGGAAGAAGACUAAUACGAAACACACUCAGCCAAAGACCAUGGGGUAGAAAUAACCCAUCUGAAGAAGGGCUCUUCAUUGCACAAAACUACAUCCAAUCCUUAAGAGGUACUGCCCCGUGGUAUGACAAGGCCAAAACGUCAUCCUGGCAAUUGCUGCUAAUUAAACUCAGGAUUGAUUCAAUGCUACUGAAUAGGCCAGGGAGAUUCCCAUGGUGCUGCCACUAAUCAGGGCCUUUACAGAAAACUCCCAAGAAGAUCGAAGGACAGAGACAAGCUUGAACUCUGCAGCCCGUAGGCAGGUCUGCCUUCUAGAGAGAAAGCCAGUGAUGCUGCUUUGCCAAUGGUCAUGCUGAAAUAGUGGUUUGGGGUGACCUCCAGGAGAGUAGGGGUACUAGGGGUAGGUAAGGAGGGUGACUGAAAUUUAAAACAAGGUGUCAGCAAAGGCAUUAGUGAGAAGAUGGCAUCUGGGUAAAGACCACAAAACAGGGUCUUCAUUGUAAUAAUAAUAAAACAACAUUUGAACUGAACUAAAGCCUAUGAUUUUAGAGCCAAUAGAAUCAUCCAUCUGCUUUUCCAGGUGUGCUUCUCUGAUAGCGACCUCUACCUCAUCUCUGGGAAUCUAGUAGUGAAGAGGAAUCCCUUCUCUAUGGACUGUAUCCACAAAGCAGGUGCAUUCACAUCAUAAAAGCUCAGUAAGGUGCCUGCCAGAUCACUACAAAAUCUGCACAUGAAGAUCUUUAUCUAUCACAGCAAAAGUGUGCAGAGCUUGUAACAGUGGUUCCCAAACCGAUUUGCACAUUAGUGUCAAAUCUUAUAUAUCUAUCUUAUAUAUCUAUAUAUCAUGCUGAGGCCCCAUCCUAGAACAAUUAAAUCCGAAUCACUAUAGAUAGGUCCCAGAUACCAGUAUUUUUUACAAGUCCUCAGAUAAUUCUAAUAUGAAACCAGGGUUGAGAACUACUAGCCUGAAGCUUCUCUAAUGUGGUCUGCAGACCAGUUGCAUCUCCUGGGAAACUCAGAAAUGCAGAAUCUCAGACCCCACCUGAGACUAACUAAACCAGAAUCUGCAAUGUAAUACCAUUCCCAGUAUUUCUGUGCACAUUCAAGUAUGAGAAUCACUGGCCUAGCGAUUUUCACUGGUCUUGCAUUGUGUGGGCAAGUUCUAAAUGACACUCAUAAGAUGAAGCAAACCCUCACCUUGAAGAUUACACUGAUCCAGCAGUAUAAAUGUAUAUAAAUGUAAAGCAAUCCCCCAGAAACCAGCUGGGACAGCUCCCUAUACGUGGAAAGAAUGUUAGAGGCAAGUCCUAUCAAUAUACGGAGCAGGGCAUUGGCUUGAAGUGAAACAGUUACUAGUACAUCCCUAGUUGAAUCUAGGGAGGCCCGGGAUGGAACUGG